rnacentral:rRNA from 1 species
AUUGAACGCUGGCGGCAUGCCUUACACAUGCAAGUCGAACGGCAGCGGGGACUUCGGUCCGCCGGCGAGUGGCGAACGGGUGAGUAAUGUAUCGGAACGUACCAUUGAGUGGGGGAUAACGUAGCGAAAGUUACGCUAAUACCGCAUAUUCUCUCCGGAGGAAAGCAGGGGACCGCAAGGCCUUGCGCUCUUUGAGCGGCCGAUAUCAGAUUAGCUAGUUGGUGAGGUAAAGGCUCACCAAGGCGACGAUCAGUAGCGGGUCUGAGAGGAUGAUCCGCCACACUGGAACUGAGACACGGUCCAGACUCCUACGGGAGACAGCAGUGGGGAAUUUUGGACAAUGGGGGCAACCCUGAUCCAGCCAUGCCGCGUGAGUGAAGAAGGCCUUCGGGUUGUAAAGCUCUUUCAGCCGGGAAAAAAUCGCAUGGGCUAAUACCCUGUGUGGAUGAUGGUACCGGAAUAAGAAGCACCGGCUAACUACGUGCCAGCAGCCGCAGUAAGAC